rnacentral:sRNA from 13 species
GAGAGCGUUAGAGAGAGAGAGAGCAUUCUAAUUAAGUAAACAGGUAUCUUACUUCAAUUGCAAGUAGUGUUUGAGACCAGAUUUCACUGGUAUCUAAAGACAACACAGUCUUGGCUUGAUAAUACGGUCAACACUUUACCGGCUAUAUUUGAUCUUUGAGUGGAUGUGGAUAUUGAAAAAGAAAAAGCAUUAGUGGACAAAGUUUCAAGACUAACAAAUCGCUCUUUGCCUAAUUGUCAGCCCUCACAUUAAAAAACCCUACAUACUGAUAGGGGGGGCCUCGCGCACACGACUGUCGUGGAUUCGCCUAACCGCCCGCACGCCGAAUCCCAAGGGUCCCCGGAGCGGAGACGCCAGUGCCCUUGCCUUUGGCUCCUGGGCCCCCUGGCCAACUGUAAGUUUACGCGCACGUCCAUUCGAUGUCUGAGGAGCCCCGGCAAAAUGGUGAAAACCUUCCAGGCCUACUUGCCAAACAAGUGUCAUCGCACCUAUAGUUGCGUGCACUGCAGAGCCCACCUCGCCAAUCAUGAUGAGUUGAUUUCGAAGUCUUUUCAAGGCAGUCAAGGCAGAGCCUAUCUCUUCAAUUCAGUGUAAGUAACCUGCUUUGAGUUUCUGUGUAAAUAGCCCUCUCUCUCUCUCUCUCUCUCUCUCUUAAUAUCAUUCUUUUCUUUCGCUCUCCGCUCCAAGCCUGCAACAAACACACACAUACCUUACUUCCCCAUCUCUACUAUAUAUUCAUUUGUUUGUCUCUUCUUCACUCUCUCUCUCUCUUUCUCAUCAUAGUCCCACCCAAUCAGUUAUUGUUUAAAUUGUUUAUUUCUUAGACAUGUAGAGUCUUGGUUCCCAAUAGAACUUGGCUUGACUCACUUUAUUUCUAUGACCACUCUGGCCAUCACCAACUUGGACAUCACGAUUUCAUUACAUAUCUUCACAUUCUUGAAACAAAACGUAUUUGGCCUGUUUGUUCAUUGACCUAACCGAUGUGUGUGUGUUUGUUCAUUGACCUAACCAAUGUGUCUGUGUGUGUUUUUUCAUCGACCUAACCAAUGUGUGUGUGUGUGUUUGUUGUUUUGUGGGGUAGAUGAAUAAAGCCGUGCAUGAACAAAGAAAACUCACCCCCUGCCUAAAUGUAUAUUUAUAUCACAUUCACUUAUUGGCCUCGUCCUUUAUAUCUAGUGCUAUAUCUCUGCUUCUACCCAUGGGAGAAACAGAUUGGGAGACGAGAGACAUGAUGUCUAGUUCUUUGUCUCCAUUACUUUAUUUUCUUAGUUAAUUCUUAAACUAACUGUAAGUAUUUCAUGGUUUCCUUCUAGUCCUUGCCCUCAAUUGAUUACAUAUAUAUAUAUAUAUAUUAAAAGCUUUUCAUCGAGUUCGAAAAUUAAUAAGGAGUGCAAUAUUUCCAUGGCUACGCAGCCCCAGACAUAACCAUUGUCAGCCGGUGGUCGAGUAAGAUUUUCUUUUCGUGUCUACGUCUGACCUCGGCAGCGGAUUUUCUUUUGAUUUCAAAUGUAUGUCCUGCGGCCUUUGUAAGUGAUCCCCAUCUGUAUCGCUCCGAAGCCGCCUGCAAACAGGUUCUCUCUUCAAUGUCUUUUAAAACAAGUUGGUGCCGAAGCUGGUCUUUAAAUCGUUUAUGUGGUGCACCUUUGUUACGCUGACCACUUUUCAGCUCACCAACAAAAGACAGCAAUUUGGCAUACGUUCGUCCCUCAUACGGCAUACUUGCCCUGCCCAGAAUUCCCUCUAUAUUGUCCAUACCGGCAUUUGCACAGGAUAGAUCCACAUGAAGGACAAACAUAAAGGAGAGGUCCUAGAUCGCAGAUGAUGUACACACCAGAGGUAGGGAAAGGGCUGAAAACGUUAUAUUAUCUGGUGAUUACAAAUGCCUGUGACCGUGAAUGUGUUUGACUUCAUUAGUCAUUUAAUAUUCUAGUUUUGCUUGGAGGGAAUACAAAGUGAAGUGAUGAAAACAUUGUAAAAUUGACUAUUCAAUUACUAUUUACGGGCCGGGGCUAUUCGACUGAAUACAAUAAUGUUUGGAUCUUAUAAGAAGGUACUCGAAGAAAAAAAUAUGUACGGAGAUCAGUUUCUGUAAACGACUUACAAAACACAAAUUGGGCCUUUUAUAAACAAGUAAAAUAUGGGAGUGGAAAACUCAUGGGAAUCCUUGAAGUUCGAUUUUUAAAAAAUAGCUUCUGUUGUGAUAUAUAUAU